CCUACGGGGCGCAGCAGUGAGGAAUAUUGGUCAAUGGACGAGAGUCUGAACCAGCCAAGUAGCAUGAAGGAUGACUGCCCUAUGGGUUGUAAACUUCUUUUAUAUGGGAAUAAAAUGUUCCACGUGUGGGAUUUUGUAUGUACCAUAUGAAUAAGGAUCGGCUAACUCCGUGCCAGCAGCCGCGGUAAUACGGAGGAUCCGAGCGUUAUCCGGAUUUAUUGGGUUUAAGGGGAGCGUAGGUGGAUUGUUAAGUCAGUUGUGAAAGUUUGCGGCUCAACCGUAAAAUUGCAGUUGAAACUGGCAGUCUUGAGUACAGUAGAGGUGGGCGGAAUUCGUGGUGUAGCGGUGAAAUGCUUAGAUAUCACGAAGAACUCCGAUUGCGAAGGCAGUUCACUGGACUGCAACUGACACUGAGGCUCGAAAGUGUGGGUAUCAAACAGGAUUAGAUACCCUUGUAGUC
rnacentral:rRNA from 1 species